rnacentral:lncRNA from 10 species
GGGAAAGAGAAACGGCUGCAUCUCACAGGCGGGAAUGUCCAGUGAUGUGGUGGUGUGGGCCUGUGUUAUAGCUCCCAUGAGAGGCUGCCAAAAAGACAGGGAGAAGGCAAUGUUCUAGAUAGAAACUGCUUUAUUGGCCUGGGUUUCUUGGAGCGAAGAAACAUUGAGGAGCAGAUCCCCCAGCUGAUUCAGCAGACGUGCAGCAGAAGCCGACGGAAACCUCUGCUGUUUUAAGGCCCCCAUACUCCCUGAGACACAACAACAUUGAUAUUAGACCAGUUAAUAACUCUACAAUGGCCUGUAAGUGUUCAAGUGAAAGGAAGAGUCGCAUAUCUCUCACUGUAAAUCAAAAACUAGAAAUGAUUAGGCUCAAUGAGGAAGCCACGUUGAAAGCUGAGAAAGGCUGAAAGUAGGCUUCUUGUGCCAAAUAGUUAGUCAAGUUGUGAAUGCAAAGAAAACAGGCUUGAAGGAAAUUUAAAGUGCUACUUCAGUGAACACAUGAAUAAUAAGAAAGUGAAUCAGCAUUAUUGCUAAUAGAAAGGAAGUUUCAGUGGUCUGGAUAGAAGAUCAAAUCAGCCAUAACAUUCCCUUAAGCCAAACCCUAAUCCAGAGCAAGGCUCUAACUUUCUUAAAUUCUGUGAAGGCUGAUAGAGAUGAGGAAGCUGCAGAAGGAAAGCUUGAAGCUAGCAGAGAUUGGUCCAUGGGGUUUAAGGAAAGAAACCGUUUCCAUAACGUAAAAGUGGAAGGUGAAGCAGCAAGUACUUAUGUAGAAGCUGCAGCAAGUUAUUCAGAAGAUUUAGCUAGGAACAUUGAUGAAGAUGGCUACAUUAAAUAACAGAUCUUCAAGGUAGAUGAAAUAGCCUUCUAUUGGAAGAAGAU